rnacentral:rRNA from 1 species
UGACCUCGGAUCAGUAGAA